GUGGCUUUUGCCUCUGCCCCAACUCCAGCUCCUGUGAUGUCAUUUCCUGUUUGCUCUCUGCCCUUCAGACUUCCUUUUGAUUCCCCAGAUAUACGACCUUCCCUCACCCCUAGUGUCUUUGUGAAUGAGUCUCCCUGUCAGGAGCAUUGCUUUCUUUUCUCCUUGUUCCUGGUCCCAACUACAUUCUUCAUCCAUCUGCUCGGCCUUAUCCCGAGAAGAACCAUAUUUCUCUCCUGUCAGUGUGGGAUGCUGCCUGCCAGCUAAGAUUCAGAGCAAGAAGGAGCCAACUGGGGCUUUGGAACCAGCAGUUUCAGAGACUUCUCGUCCUGUUUGCUCCUGGUGUAGUCUGUUGGAUGGGGCUGACUCAUUCCUCAAGCUUACUUCCCUCCUGUGGCCACUUUACCACCUGAAAAUCCCCAUGAUUUUCUAUCACAGGCUCCAUAAAGGAGACAGAGGGCCUGCUCAGUUGGAUUUUUAUGAGACAGACCAUUGAGGCUAGAGAGAGGAAAGAACAUUCCUACAUGUCAGCUUCAUCACCACCAGGAGAAGGGCGAGCAGCUCUGGAGCUGGGGUGGGAACGGGCCAUGCAGCUCCUGUGUAGACAGAGGCCAACUAGCUCUGUGAAGACUUGACACUCAGGAAAAAGAUGACUCACGCACUGGCUUCCUUAGGACUUGGAACCUGCUAAGGCAGGAAGUGAAAGAAUGGAGGAGAGGAGUGGUCGGUGAAUCCAUGGAGCCUCUGUCAUGGACAAAAAGAGACAACCAAGGAGGCUGGAGAGUGGCUGGAUGCUGUUAACAGAGAAUCCCCAGAGCAGAGACGUGGAUUGCAACCAGAUAAAACAUUAGAACUUGACCUCUAAGCGAUGCAUUUAAAUUCAUUUCUGGCUUAUUCUUUCCAAACAGCUUUUGGGUUUGAUAAUCGUGAUUUAUCUGCAGCCUGUAUUUAUAACUGUGCGCACUGUCAUUGUCUCUGAGAUUGUCUCAGUUAAUAUUGUUAAGGGGUGGAAGUGUGAUCUCCUGGGUGGCUGGAUUCACUCUGCUGGCCCAUUUUGAUAAGAAUGUACCUGUCUGCAGGACCAAUGGGGUUUUAUUGGCAUUUUGCAUUCUUGUAUGCAAAUAAUAUAGAACCUCUUUACUGG